rnacentral:lncRNA from 1 species
AACAUCAUUCCGUCCCUAUAUCAUUCUAACUUAAUAAUCAUAUUUCAAAUAUGCAAGGCAUGUAAACCAAACACGCUAAGGCAUGUGAGUCACCUUAAUGGCAAUACCAAAUAUGGUAGAGCCAUGUAAACCAAACAUGCUAAGGCACAUAAGCCAUAUUAAUGGCAAAUCCAAACUUGUUAAGGCACGUAAGCCAUAUUAAUGGAAAUUACAAAUAUGCUAAGGUGUCAUGAUCCGGUACUCUCUUCAAGCCCGUGACAACCGCCGUGAUGUCUCGAUAGACAAACCUUACUCGGAAUGUUAAUCGAAACCUCGCAAGGAUCUAGCAUUAGUUUUUUGCCUCCCC